GACAGAGGGUGCAAACGUUGUUCGGAAUUACUGGGCAUAAAGCGUGUGUAGGCGGCCAAGCAAGUCGGAUGUGAAAGCCCAGGGCUCAACCCUGGAAGUGCACUCGAUACUGCCUGGCUUGAGUAUCGGAGAGGUUGGUGGAAUUCUCGGUGUAGAGGUGAAAUUCGUAGAUAUUGGGAAGAACACCGGUGGCGAAGGCGGCUCACUGGCUCGUAACUGACGCUCAGGCGCGACAGCGUGGGGAUCAAACAGG
rnacentral:rRNA from 1 species